CACGGGAAGACAACAGGUAUGCCUCAGUAACGGCGAGUGAAGCGGCAACAGCUCAAAUUUGAAAUCUGGCCCCCCGGCCCGAGUUGUAAUUUGCAGAGGAUGCUUCGGGCGCGGUGCCUUCCAAGUCCCCUGGAACGGGGCGCCGGAGAGGGUGAGAGCCCCGUACGGUUGGCGGCCAAGCCUGUGUGAAGCUCCUUCGACGAGUCGAGUAGUUUGGGAAUGCUGCUCUAAGCGGGAGGUAGACCCCUUCUAAAGCUAAAUAUAGGCCAGAGACCGAUAGCGCACAAGUAGAGUGAUCGAAAGAUGAAAAGCACUUUGAAAAGAGGGUUAAACAGCACGUGAAAUUGUUGAAAGGGAAGCGCUUGCGACCAGACGUGCGCCGGGGUGCUCAGCGGGCGUUCUCGCCCGUGCACUCGCCCCGGUGCAGGCCAGCGUCGGUUCGCGUGGGAGGAUAAAGGCGCCUGGAAUGUGGCUCCCCCGGGAGUGUUAUAGCCAGGCGUGCCAUGCUCCCCUGCGGACCGAGGUACGCGUUCUGCAAGGACGCUGGCGUAAUGGUCCCCAGCGACCCGUCUUGAAACACGGACCAAGGAGUCGAGGUUUUGCGCGAGUGUUUGGGUGUUAAACCCGCACGCGUAAUGAAAGUGAACGUAGGUGGGAGCUUCGGCGCACCACCGACCGAUCCUGAUGUUCUCGGAUGGAUUUGAGUAAGAGCGUAGGGCCUCGGACCCGAAAGAUGGUGAACUAUGCUUGGAUAGGGUGAAGCCAGAGGAAACUCUGGUGGAGGCUCGCAGCGGUUCUGACGUGCAAAUCGAUCGUCAAAUCUGAGCAUGGGGGCGAAAGACUAAUCGACCUCCAGGGGGGG
rnacentral:rRNA from 2 species